GCGGGCAUGGCGGAAUUGGCAGACGCGCAGGAUUUAGGUUCCUGUGGAGACUCCGUGUGGGUUCAAGUCCCACUGCCCGCACCA
rnacentral:tRNA from 1 species